GACAAUGUCAUAAAACACCAUUAUUCAUGGAAAACAUGUAAUGUUGUUUGUGAAUUGAUGUUACAUAAAGUUGAUUAAAAUUUAAAAUGAAAAUGUGUGGUGAGCAAGAAAAGAAAACGGUGGCAUGGAUUGAAAUGGCCGAAUGGUAAACAAAAGACAAGAAAGAGUUGGUCCAAAAUCAACCGGCUUUGGAGAAACUGUCAUGUGAGUUUUUCUAUUUAACUUUUUAUUUUUUGAAAGAUGAGUUUAUUUGUAUAUUGUUUUCUAUCUAAUUUUUUUUUUUUUUUUUAGGAGCCUAGUGGUUAGAGCUCACACAAUUAAAUGUGGAGAAGUG
rnacentral:lncRNA from 1 species